rnacentral:misc_RNA from 1 species
UCACCCCUCGGGCCCCGUGCUCGGUGUUGGACGGCCGGUUCGGGUGACCGAACCCCUCCUAAAGACAAUGACGGCGGCCUGUGGUUCCCCCGGUACACUGAGCCUUUGGCACGUGCCGGACGAGGGCGCCCAGGACCCGGUCCUCUCCUUUAACUAGGAAACUUCUAA